rnacentral:lncRNA from 1 species
GUCUCUUGCCUUAUAACGGUGACUGGUUAGAAGUUGAGUAUUACAUGCAGCCAGGCACCUUAAACAUCAAGCCAUGCUCAGUGAAGCCCAUGAGCUGUAAAUAUGUGGACGAGGCCUGCAUUACUAGUCUACAUGGAAGACAUGGGGUGAUAGAUGAUAGUAUCUUUUUCACCUUGGAUUCUCUGAAACUUCCUGAUGGAUACAUACCUCAAAGAUAUGAUAUCGUCAAUAUGGCCAUGGUUGAGAGGAUUCAAUCCUGUUAUAUUUGGAGGGCAGUUUCUAUCACACCGGUGCAAAGGUUAGUGAAUUAUAAGAUGGCAGAGGCCUGGGGCAGCCCUGAAGGCACCAUCAGAGGAAAAGAAUUUAA